AUGCAUGUUGGGUUUUAUUAUUGUACCUCUUCCCCAUGGGAUACUAAUGAAUCCAGUACAUGCAAUAUAAUCAAAAGGAGUCAUCAGGGCUGCCAGCUUUUAAGUCCGGGCUGAGCCGUAGUAUAUUACUCCUACACGG